GACGAACGCUGGCGGCGUGCUUAACACAUGCAAGUCGAACGGAAAGGCCCUGCUUUUGUGGGGUGCUCGAGUGGCGAACGGGUGAGUAACACGUGAGUAACCUGCCCUUGACUUGGGGAUAACUUCAGGAAACUGGGGCUAACACCGGAUAGGAGCUCCUGCUGCAUGGUGGGGGUUGGAAAGUUUCGGCGAUUGGGGAUGGACUCGCGGCUUAUCAGCUUGUUGGUGGGGUAGUGGCUUACCAAGGCUUUGACGGGUAGCCGGCCUGAGAGGGUGACCGGCCACAUUGGGACUGAGAUACGGCCCAGACUGCUACGGGAGGCAGCAGUGGGGAAUAUUGCACAAUGGGCGGAAGCCUGAUGCAGCAACGCCGCGUGCGGGAUGACGGCCUUCGGGUUGUAAACCGCUUUCGCCUGUGACGAAGCGUGAGUGACGGUAAUGGGUAAAGAAGCACCGGCUAACUACGUG
rnacentral:rRNA from 1 species